GUCUCUCUUGUUUCUAAGGUUCUGUUUACUCAGCUCGCUGACCUGUGAGCUUCUAGGUGAUUCCUCUGUCUUCACUUCGUGCCUCCUUGUGGGUGUUUGAGGACUACAGAUGUGCACCACCACCUCUGGAUUUUUUAUGUGGGUUCUGGGGAAUCUAACUGAGGUCAACGGACUUUAGUGUGCAAGGCUUUACCCACUGAGCCAUCUUCUUGAUGCUCCACGCGUCCCCAUCCCUCUGGUAUAACAGCUGACUCUGGUAUAACAGCUGACAUGGUAUUAGAGCUGCCUUAAUCACGUUCUGAUGUCUGGUUGACAAGUUUAAAGUCUUCCAUUUACUGUGGCUUUGGAGCACUCUGGAAGGAUUUUAGUUUUAUGGUAUUAUCUAACUAUGUAGGAAUUUAGAGUGUUGAGGAAAAAAAAAAAAAAAAAAAAACCCGUGUUUCCAAUACAGUUGUUUCUGUGAGUGAAGCAGCUGAGUCUGUAGCAAAUGCUCUUUGCAAUCAGCACUUUCAAGUUAUCCUUCUGUCGGCUUGGAGAGAGUGCAGAAAAACCACAUUCUCUCCUAACUGCUGAUUGUGUUCUUGCAGCCUGUCCCAGGCCUGCAAAUUAUACCCUGUACGACGGAUCGGAUCGCUCACUAACUCACUUGUAGUUCCACAUUUUUCUCUCUAGCUUGCUGGAUUACAAGACACAAGUUAAACUACAAGAUAAACAAAUAUUAUCUUUAGUCACAGAAUCACCAGACAAAAAGCCCCUCAGAGCAAGCUGGCUCCACCCUCCUUGUGGCUAUUUCUGCUCCUUAUUCUGAAGGCUGCACUUCAGUUUAAGGACCGUGGACUUGGAAGGCCUGAGGAAAGCUUGAGUCAAGAUGGCCAGGACAACAUCUGUCUCUGUGCUGGGACCCUAAAAGCUCCCCUGAUAGCUUUGUCAUCUUUAGUCCCUCGAGUAGCAGGCCUCUGAGGAUCACACACCUUGAGAGGUCAUGGUGUAGACAUGCACACUGAGCCUUCUAGCCUCAGCUGUGGAUCCUUCCUGUAGUUCUCGGAGUCAUUUUUCUGACAUUCAUACCUCUAACUGUAAAGUUGGCGCUCCAUGUCUCUGUGCCCUCAUCCCUCAGUGAUAACUAUAUCACAGUUUGGAAUGAAUCCCCUCCAAACCUAUUACAGUUUCCCACUUCCCCCUACCUGACUUUUCUUAGAGGAUCCCUAAGAUGGAUUCUAGCGAGCUGAGAUAUUUGUCUAGUUCUCUUGUAUUUCCAUCUGGUGUGGGGCUUCUUUUCUUAUGAGUUAUACUCAAAGGGGUAAUAAGACCUGGAGAGGUAAGAACACAUGUCCCAUUGACUGUGACCUGUGUUUCUCUGGAAUCCCCAGGGUCAGUGUUCACCCUAGGCCAUGUCUGCAAUGGAACACAGCAUUCUUUUUUUCCCCAUGAACAUACCCCAUCUGUUGAAUAGCCCUUCACUUUCCAAUGAGAUCUCCCUAAAUAGACUUAAUUAACAAUUCAUUCAAUUGCCUUGAAAUCAGAAAUUCAAGCACACUAGAGGACUCUAUCUCUGAUCAUAGGAAAACAAACAUACAAGACAAUCAUGACUAAAUUUCUGAUUGGACAUCAUUAAGAAUUGAUUAAGAGUGGUGUUGUCACUUGAUAAACACAUUCUAACAAAGACUGUGUAGCUCUACAAAUUCUUGGUCUGUCGUUUGUCCUCAAGACACAGAGCAGAGUCAUAGCUCAGGUCUCAUCAAACCAUCUACCAGAUGUCUAGAUUGAGGGGGAAAGCAUCUUGGAGACACUUGUCCGAUGACCUUCAGACAAGCCACAACAAGCCCAGACAAUCAUUUCAAAGAAAAAAGAAAAAAAAAAAACUUUUCC
rnacentral:lncRNA from 1 species